UUCUAACCGCCAUAUGUUGCUUCAGUUAUUUCCUACGAGCAUAUCUGGCGAUUUAACUGAAAACAUCAGAAGAGCCAUUUUGGCGGUCUUUCAGCAGUAGUGCAAUUUUAGUGGCUGCAGUCUCCACAAUCACCAAAGCACUUGGAAUCCAGCAAUGCAUCUGGACCAACUACAUAGACCUACUACCUCCACUGGAAUAUCAUAGCGCUUGUAACCUGGCUGGUCAUCAAGUUGCUCUUUUAAAUAAUACUCAGCUUCAUUUUGGAUGCUGGUCUUCCUCCAAUCACACAGUCUGGUUACGCUCACUUCCCCGCUGCACUCCAUCUGCCUGCCUCCCUGCCACAGCUUCUGGAGCAGUACAUUUUGGAUUCACUCAGGAGUGAAACCUCACCCAGACCUUUGGACUGCCCUCCUUCCACGCCGUACUCCACCUGCAACCUUGACUCUGCACUUCUUCGCCCGUGUGACAGCCCCUUCUUCCCCCAUUGGACCACUUUCAUGGACUUUUGAAUUUAACAUUAGUUCACAAAUUACGCUUCUCGUUUCUGGUUUAGUCUCAUAGUUCACAGUUCAUCGUCGAUACCUUAAAAGUAUAGGCAUAGUUCACAGUUUAUAGUUGUCACCUUAAAGUCUUGUCUCACUUAUAAA